rnacentral:lncRNA from 1 species
ACAGGUCGUAUUUUAAAACCCAAAACAAAAUAAAGGAAAACUAAGGCCAUAACCGAUCACCACAAGACAAUAAUAAUAAACACAUUAUUAUUAUUUUUAAUUCUUUUAAUUAAUUAAAACCAAAUUAAAUUUCGGCGACCGAUCACACUACGCAGAGUUAGCCGACGUCGUUUUUCGCAUCAACACUUGAUACUUUAAAGCACAACUCUU